UUUCUUUUUUUUCUUUUUUUUUUAAUUUCUUAUAGGAAAAUUAUAUAUGAUGUAUUCUUAGGAUUCAUUCUUCAUAAUUUAUAAAAAUUUAUAUAUAAAAAAAUUAAAAUUUAAACCCAUAAGGAUUAGCUUCGUUGGUCAAGGAGUGUGCUCCUUCCUUAGCCAAAUGCAUGUUUGAAUCAUGGAGAGGACGAUUGGUAUUAUUCCCCAUAAUGCGUUAGGUUUGUUGUACAAACCCUAAUUGGACUGAUCCAAAGAGGGAUUAACCCCAAUGCAAAGAAUUAAGAACAAUAAUGAUGAUCUCAAGGGAGACUCUCCCCUAAAAUUUGUAA
rnacentral:misc_RNA from 1 species